rnacentral:rRNA from 1 species
UCCGCAAUGGGCGAAAGCCUGACGGAGCAAGACCGCGUGGGGGAAGAAGGCUCUUGGGUUGUAAACCCCUUUUCUCUGGGAAGAAAGUUGUGAAAGCAACCUGACGGUACCAGAGGAAUCAGCAUCGGCUAACUCCGUGCCAGCAGCCGCGGUAAGACGGAGGAUGCAAGCGUUAUCCGGAAUGAUUGGGCGUAAAGCGUCCGCAGGUGGCAGUUCAAGUCUGCUGUCAAAGACCGGGGCUCAACCUCGGAAAGGCAGUGGAAACUGAACAGCUAGAGUAUGGUAGGGGCAAAGGGAAUUCCUGGUGUAGCGGUGAAAUGCGUAGAGAUCAGGAAGAACGUCGGUGGCGAAGGCGCUUUGCUGGACCAUAACUGACACUCAGGGACGAAAGCUAGGGGAGC